CCUACGGGAGGCAGCAGUGAGGAAUAUUGGUCAAUGGACGAGAGUCUGAACCAGCCAAGUAGCGUGAAGGAUGACUGCCCUAUGGGUUGUAAACUUCUUUUAUAAAGGAAUAAAACGAGGCACGUGUGCCUUUUUGCAUGUACUUUAUGAAUAAGGAUCGGCUAACUCCGUGCCAGCAGCCGCGGUAAUACGGAGGAUCCGAGCGUUAUCCGGAUUUAUUGGGUUUAAAGGGAGCGUAGAUGGGUUGUUAAGUCAGUUGUGAAAGUUUGCGGCUCAACCGUAAAAUUGCAAUUGAUACUGGCAGUCGUGAGUACAGUUGAGGUAGGCGGAAUUCGUGGUGUAGCGGUGAAAUGCUUAGAUAGCACGAAGAACCCCGAGUGCGAAGGCAGCUUACUAAACUGUGACUGACAUUGAUGCUCGAAAGUGUGGGUAUCAAACAGGAUUAGAUACCCUUGUAGUC
rnacentral:rRNA from 1 species